rnacentral:rRNA from 1 species
UACGUAGGAGGCAAGCGUUAUCCGGAAUGACUGGGCGUAAAGGGUGCGUAGGUGGUUUGGCAAGUUAGUAGCGUAAUUCCAGAGCUCAACUUUGGAACUACUACUAAAACUGUUGGACUUGAGUGCAGGAGGGGCAAAUGGAAUUCCUAGUGUAGCGGUGGAAUGCGUAGAUAUUAGGAGGAACACCAGUGGCGAAGGCGAUUUGCUGGACUGUAACUGACACUGAGGCACGAAAGCGUGGGGAGCAAACAGG